UACGGGGGGUGCAAGCGUUGCUCGGAAUCACUGGGCGUAAAGCGUACGCAGGCGGGCCGAUAAGUCGGAUGUGAAAGCCCGGGGCUCAACCCCGGAAUUGCAUUCGAAACUGCCGGUCUGGAGUGCGGGAGAGGAGAGUGGAAUUCCUGGUGUAGAGGUGAAAUUCGUAGAUAUCAGGAGGAACACCCGUGGCGAAAGCGGCUCUCUGGCCCGACACUGACGCUCAUGUACGAGAGCAUGGGGAGCAAACAGG
rnacentral:rRNA from 1 species